GUUUAAAGAGACUCCUGUCCACUGGCUACUGGAUCCUGGAAUAGACGUGAGUAGGCAAAGACAGAAAGGCGUGAUGGAACUGCAUGAUGCGGGGAAAUCCGACAGCUACUGGCUGGUCACUUCUUUUGUUCUCUCUUGGCUGUUGGAACAGACACUGAUAGGCAGUAGCUGAAGUGGACAGCACUGCAAAGUGGCCUGAUCAGAUUCCUCAGCCUCUAGGUCACUGGGCAGAACGGCGCCUGGCCUGGCUGGAGCCUCUGUUCCUCUCAUGUGACCUUUAGAGGUGUGACCAGUGGAUCUGCACUUGUGACUCUGGAAGCCUGUGCUGUGAGUGUCUGGGUAUGCUGCACACAGGCAAAGUAUAAGCUGGGCAUUCACUAACAACUAGACAAACUAGCAGCAAGUGCUCACAAAUACUUCUCCUUUCCUGUAUGCCCCCCCCCCUUUCCUUUCUUCAGAGACCCUGGUACUUGUGUUCCUCUGAGAAAGAAUAGAUGGGUAGGUGGGUGAGGUGCUUGUGUCAAACUGGAAAAUAUUCACCUUUAAAAUAAAGCUACUUUGGCCAUUAUGAUUUAUCUGUAUUCCCAGACAAGCCGCCCAAGAUGUUAAGUAUUAUUCUGCAGUAAAGAAAUUAAAAACAAACAAACAAACAAACAAAACACCUCAGUGGCUUAACAGCAAGUUGACGUUAGUGUCACAGCAGACUUACCCUGCAUUCAUUGAUAUUAUAGAUCUUUCUUUUACAAUCAUAUAAAAACGAUUUUAUCUUAGCACAAAGAAAGGUCAUUCUAUAUGUACAUUUUGCUGCUGAUGAGUGGUCAUGCUUCUGUUUGUACAUGGCUCCUUCCGACUUUCAUUUUCUUCUCCAUCAGUUUCACCUCUUCCCCUGAAUGAACUGUGAACAUCUUUCCAUACCUCUUUCCCUGUGCUCGUUUCAUUAUGUCCUCACACCUUUACAUACAAAUCACAUAACUUCUAUCUUAGUACAUCUUAAUUAAGUAGACUACGGUUGCAUAACAUUUUUUAAACUAUUUAAUGCCAAUGACUGGAAAUCUCACAAGGACAUAUUCUGUAGCACUGGCCCAUCCUUUUUCAUGACUGUAUAAUGUUCCAUUAUGUGGAAUAUUCCCAUUUUCCAACCAUCUCUAGUGACAAGCAUUCUCUGUGUUUCUUUUGUACACUAUGAAUAAUGCCUGCCCAUCUGUUCUUUUGUUGUGGUUGGGGUUUUUUGUUUGUUUUUGUUUUAUUUUGGUGUCAAUAGUUUCACAGAUAUAAGCUAUGUACCCAGGAGUAAAUUCUAAAUAUAAAGGUAUAUGUGUAUGUAUAGAUAUCAUUAUACUACUUUCUAAAAAGGCCAUGCAGUUUUUACUUGAGUAAGAUCUGUGAGGAUGCCCACCUUACUUCAUUACUGCAUAUUCUUACAGAAAUAUCUUACCAGUGUGGUAGCUACACAUUGAAAAUGCGUGGCUUUAGACACCAGGUUCCUAACCACUUUGGGAAGCCAGACACACAUACUCAUUAAGUCUGUUUUCUUUUGUAAUGAACAAAAUAGGUUACGAAAGACUCCAAAGUAAAAUUUAUUAUGCUAGAUGUAGUCAUCAAAUAUUUAAAAAACAAUUUUAUAUAGAAAUGUGGAUGUGUGUAAUAACAUUACAACUAUCUACAUCUACUUGUAGGCUUGAUAUAGCUACCAUAAAUUCACAUGACAGUUGACUAGAAUCCACACUUGAAGAUGAAUACACCAACUGUAACACACUGAGAUUGGUCACAUAUACUUGUAAUUAAUGAAUUCAUCUCAGUUACACAUUAAUGGAAAUAAGAUGCCACAUUUGUUUCUGCUCCCUUCACUUGCUUCUUGUCUUAUAGUUGGUCACAAUGCUAAGUGACUUAGGGCAGCCAACCCACCCAGAUCUGUGUCUUUUGACUCAUAAGGUCAUAAGUCCAUCUACCCUUUUGGGGUGUAUAAAUGACUUGUGCAUGAAGAUGGUACCCUAGCCAAAGCAAUGCUUGGCCCAUGUCAGGGUGGGAAAUUGUAUAAGUGACACACACUUCCCAGCCCACAGAGUAACUACAGAUCCUCUCCUUUCUAGAAAGUGCCACCAGCCCAGAGACAGACUGGGACAAAUAUUUGGCCUCAGGCAAUGCUGGAGCCCAGGGAAAGCCUUCCUUGCAUGUGUGUUUUCUCACAGAAUUGUAAAGCCAGGCAGCUCUCAGUGCCAGAGGCUGAGGAGUUUGUGUGUUUCUGGACUAUUCAUUAGUGAUUACAUACCCCCCGAACACCUGCAAGACCAAUUCAUAAAGACAGCAUUCAUAGGCUUUGGCAAGGGUUUCAUGGGAACUGCAGGGUACGGGGUACAGUCAUUGUAUCUGCAGAUAAAACACAUUCUCUUACCAAGGAGGCCUCUGAAAAUAGGAGCAGGCUGCAAUUCCAGUUCGACACCACGGGGUAUUAAAAAGAAAAGUGCUACUUCACCUCAGCUCUUUAGAAAACCAGCUAGCUGUGGGGCUGUGGCAUUCCUGGACAAAUUCUCUUUUAGGAUCCUCUCAGGGUUAGAAGAGAGGAGCUGUGGGCACCGUGUGGAUUGUUACAGGGGACUGCCAGGCCAUCAGUGCGGUGUGGCAUGCUCCCCUGCAAGUCACACUGAUUUACCUCAGGACAAUAGGAAGCAUGGCGCCUGGGUGGCCUGCUGUGUAAUUCUGGGUGAUAGAUUGCUGCUGCCAUGUAUAAAAAUGGCACCAUAAUUAAUCCAAAAAAGACCAAAGAUAAUAAAAAAAAAUAACACACACACACACACACACACACACACAAUGCCAUCUUUAUACAAAAUAGAGGAGUAACCUUUUACAAGAGUUAUUUGUACUUUUGAUUUUCUUUUGCCUGAGUUCUAUGAAGGGAAGAGAUGCAGGACAGAGAGGCUGCAGAGAUGUGUAGGUGUGUUCUGACUGGGCUCCAUUCAGUGGAAGAGAGAAACUGAGGCUUGGCUAAGCAUCUGAAAACACAGGCUCCUUUGCCUCUGCAAGCAACAUGAAGUUUGUUUUUAUUUGCUCUUGGUCCUGUCUGGAUGUUUUAGCAGGUUUCCCUCCCUUUCUUUUCCUUUCUUCUUUUUCUGUCCUUUCUUCCUUUCUUUUCUUUUUGUGUAUUACAUGUAUGUAUUGGGUGCAUAUGUGUGUGCAUGCAUGGCAUACAUACGUGAUGAUUGUGGUGUGUGUGUAUGUGCACCCUGUGUAUGUGUGUGUGUGGUAUAUGUACAUGUGCACACACAUGUGUGUAGUAUGCAUUUGUUUAUGGUGUGUUUGUGUGGUUCCUGUGCUCACGUGUGUAUAUGGUGUGUGUGGUGUACAUGGUGUGUGUGCAGUAUGCAUUUAUUUAUGGUGUGUCUGUGUGGUUCCUGUGUAUGUAUGCAUGCACCCAUGUUGUAAAAUAUUAUUUUAACUGGGCAAAGAUGUGUUAUAUUUGUUUAUGCUGUGCUUGUUUUACGGCGUAAGGAUGUGUGUUUGUUUAAUUAUGAAAAGAUGUGCUGCAUUUGUUUCCCCUUGCCUUCCUAAGGCACCUGAUUGAUCUAAUAAAGAGCUGAAGGCUAAUAGCUGGGCAGGAGAAAGGAUAGGCAGGCUGGCAGGCAGAGAGAAUAAAUAGGAGGAGAAAUCUAGGCUCUGGAGAGGAAGAAGGAGAAGUGACAGGCUAGGUAAGGGCAAGAAGGCAGAUGGGUGCCAGCCAGCCAUACUGGAGAAGCAGUGAAAGUCAGAUAAACAAAAGGAAAGAAAAGUAAAAAGCCUGGAUUCAAAAGGUAGAUAAAUAGGUUAGUUAUAAGAGGUAGCCAGGAAGGAGCCUAAGAUAGGGCAAGAAUUCAAAACUAAUAACAAGGCUCCAUGUCAUGCUUUGGGAGCUGGUUGAUGGUCUCCCUAAAAAAGCCUGGUAUCCAUGCACCCAUGUGUGCAAGAGGCCAGGCCAGAGAGGGCUCCACAUCUCCCCUAGGCUGCACUAGUGUACCAGUCUGUAGUGCUUAAGGAAACUCUCGAAGGGCCCCACUCUUUGGGAUUUGCAGUAUAUUGCAUCUCCAUAUGUACAUACAUAUACCAUCACACACUGAGGUUGGGAAGGACUUUUAAUGGGCCAUCUCUCUCUCUCUCAUUACUUGGCUGAGGUAGGAUUGCUUGUUGCUACCCUCCCACAAUCAAAAGGAGAACUAGGGUCUGUGGUUACACAGAAAAUAGCAUUUUUUUUUGUGCCUCUUGUGAUUGAGUCCACUAGUACAAAUGAGCAAAAAUCUAUUACAACAACGAAUAUAUCACUAGGGACUUGAUCUAUGUAAUUGCACUGAAGGGCUGGGAUGCUGAAGUCCUGGCAAAUGAGGCACCCAGGGCCAGUGAUGUAUAAUUGAGGGUGAUGUGGCAGUGACAGGACAGUGUGGAGCUGUAGGAGCCACCUUGCUCUGCUGCAGUGGAAGGGGACAGUGACUGAGAUGGUAGAUUUUGAAGCUAGAAGCCUCAGGUUCAAGCCAUAGCUCUGCUGCCCAUUGUAAUGUGACCUCAGACCCAUUCUUUACAAUCUCCACCUGUUUUCAUGAGGUGAAGGAACUUUCUCAACUUCAAGUGGUGCAAUAAUAGCCGCUCAUAUCAAAAGAAAAUUACAGGCAUUAAUUAAACACAUUAACAUAUACAAAGCACUUUUAACAGUGUCCAGCUAUAUAAAUGGAAGCUGGUCCCUUAACUACCAUGGGAGCCCUGUGGAAUCACGCAUUCUGUCAUUCGUGUAUGUCUUAGGAUUCCCUGUAGGUAAGGAAAACCAUACCCAUCUCUGGCUGAAAUCAGUCUCUGUAAAACAAAUAAGGUUAAUGGGGAAUGGGCCGGUCCAGCUCCAAGAGUUCCUAAAUCAGAAAAAAAUCCACCUGGAGGUAGCACCUGAGCUCUUGUGGCUGCAAACAAUUCCCCUUUCGGAAGGAGACAUAUAAAGGUUAAAAUGGCCUUUUAAAAUCUGCUUGGGAAUGCCUCUAGUGCCUCUGGUACAGACACAACUUAAGUUUGCUCUCUUAAACAUACUUCUAUCUUAAGGCUUGUAAAUUACACGUUAUAUUCCUGUUAGAAUGAACUCUGACUUCUAGUUUCUAAUAACUUUUGCAUAACACAUAUAACAAUUUCAUCAUGAACAUACAUUAGGGUGAGUUACAAUACAAUCAAAAGACAAUAAGACAUUCUCAAUCUGUGGGGUGUGAACAAUUUCACAAUUCUAAACCUUUUUUUUUUAAUUCCCUGCUUGGGACUCAAUGCCCUUUGAAACUUUCUAUUUCUUGCUUCAAGUUCAAAGUUCUGAAAUCUGUAAAGUUCUGAAAUCAGAUUUGUAAUAUCAUAUAUAAUCUUUGAAUGUUAACUGGAAUGUCUUUUGUCCAUGUCUUGUUUAAGCAUUGUAAAGGGGCUUCUGCCACUCACUCUCAUUUAUGCCAGUAUCCACCUGUCCUAAAUGGGUCCUUUUUCCCAUGGGAAAACUGGCAAAACAGUUGUGUGUGUAUAUAUAUGGCAAGAAGGCAAGCUGUUGUUCGGUUCUUAGUCUGCUCCAGAAUGAGCACUCACGUAUUCAGAGAGGUGGAUGUAGUCUGUCUGUAGAGAAGUUGGAGCUCUGGAAAGCACUGUGAAAACUGGAACUGGGUGUCUUCUAUCCUGCCCUGGCCAUAGGUUGGGUGUCCUCAAGGUUCAGGAAGACUGGUUCAGUGUUUCACUCCAGUUGGUUCAGGCAGUCUCCCAAGGCCUUGGGUCCAAUUCCUCUCUGUUCCACGCAUCUCACGAACUGCUCGACUAGCCAGCAUGCCUUGUUCUCCACCUUCAGGAAAACACAGACAUGCCCUCAACCCCAAAUAAUUAUGGGGUCUGGUCCCCUCCAUUGAUCUCUCCAUUUGACUUGAGCAAAAUUCACUCGAGUUUCUUCAUGCCAGAAUAUGUCUGCAGCAGAUUGCUCAUUGGCAUCCAUAUUUUAAAAGUUUAAGAUAAACAGUACGUGGUUUAAUGCAUCAUGUGGAGGCUGGGGGCACAGCUCCCCCCUUUUAUCUUAGAAGCUGUGUUUUUAAGGAGCUAUGAGUAUGUUCUAAAAUUCCUUGUCUUGGAGGAUCACAAGGAAUAUCUGUCUUAUCAUUUUCCCAAUGAGUACAAGAUAACUGACAUGACUCAUCAUAAUAUCCAUCUCUAUUGUGUAUCUUUAUAAUUUUUGGAACUCCCAUGUAAGCAAAAAUAUCUUAAAACAGUGACUUAUAAUAUCAAGAAAUCUGAAUAUGUGUUGAUUGCCAUGUGUACUUUUUUUUUUUUUUUUUUUUUGGUUUUUCAAGACAGGGUUUCUCUGUGUAGCCUUGGAGCCUAUCCUGGCACUUUCCCUGGAGACCAGGCUGCCUAGAACUCAGAGAUCCACCUGCCUCUGCCUCCCGAGUGCUGGGAUUAAAGACAUGCACCACCAAUGCCCGACCCAUGCGUAAAUUUUUAACUUGUCAAACUCUGCAAACAUCCAUUUGCCAUAGAUGGUUAGGGAGUGGACCUCAAGGAUUCAUCCCUAAAUUAGCCAUAGGUAGAAUUUGUUGACAUAUUCCACAUUCUUUGAUGAUUUGACC
rnacentral:lncRNA from 1 species